rnacentral:misc_RNA from 1 species
AAAGUCGUAACAAGGUUUCCGUAGGUGAACCUGCGGAAGGAUCAUUAACAAAUCAAUGUAGCGGGGCGUCGGAGGUGGUAAGAUGCCUCCUGAUGCCUUUUGCUCACAUAUAAACCCGAACCUGUGCAGCAAUGCCAGGCGAGGUGUAGGGCCCCUCUCUUAUGGGGGGUUCUGCGGUGAAAGGCGGGUGGGGAGGGAGAGAGGGGGAAGAAGUCUGGUAAAAAGGACGACGGCCACACCUCUCACUUCUCCCCAUAGUCCGGAUCCACAUAGACGCUUUCUUAGUUUGACAGUAUCAGUUGACACCAACAAAAUGACAACUUUUAACAAUGGAUCUCUUGGCUCUU